UGAUGGCUAGCUGGUCUGAGAGGAUGGCCAGCCACACUGGGACUGAAACACGGCCCAGACUCCUACGGGAGGCAGCAGUGGGGGAUAUUGCGCAAUGGGCGAAAGCCUGACGCAGCGACGCCGCGUGGGUGAUGAAGGCCUUCGGGUCGUAAAGCCCUGUCGAGGGGAAAGAAACGGUCUCGACCUAACACGUCGGGACCCUGACGGUACCCCUAAAGGAAGCACCGGCUAACUCCGUGCCAGCAGCCGCGGUAAUACGGAGGGUGCGAGCGUUGUUCGGAAUCACUGGGCGUAAAGGGCGUGUAGGCGGUCCGCUAAGUCUGAUGUGAAAGCCCGGGGCUCACCCCCGGAAGGGCAUUGGAAACUGACGGACUCGAGUCCCGAAGAGGAGGGUGGAAUUCCUGGUGUAGCGGUGAAAUGCGUAGAUAUCAGGAGGAACACCGGUGGCGAAGGCGGCCCUCUGGACGGUGACUGACGCUGAGACGCGAAAGCGUGGGGAGCAAACAGGAUUAGAUACCCUGGUAGUCCACGCUGUAAACGAUGAGCACUAGGUGUCGUGGGUAUUGACCCCCGCGGUGCCGUAGCUAACGCAUUAAGUGCUCCGCCUGGGGACUACGGCCGCAAGGUUAAAACUCAAAGGAAUUGACG
rnacentral:rRNA from 1 species